rnacentral:sRNA from 1 species
GGAGGGGGAGAGCGCGGGCCGCGCGGGCGGGAAGCGAAGAGGCGGGCGGGCCAGCGAGGAGCGCGGAGAGAAAAGGCGCGAGCGGCCAGGAGGGCUCAGGCCGAGACACCUUGCAGCUGCCGCCGCCGCCACCGAGCCGCCGCUGUGCUCACUGAUCCGCCUCCAGGGCCACCGCCAUGUCGAGCCGCGGUGGGAAGAAGAAGUCCACCAAGACGUCCAGGUCUGCCAAAGCAGGAGUCAUCUUUCCCGUGGGGCGGAUGCUGCGGUACAUCAAGAAAGGCCACCCCAAGUACAGGAUUGGAGUGGGGGCACCCGUGUACAUGGCCGCCGUCCUGGAAUACCUGACAGCGGAGAUUCUGGAGCUGGCUGGCAAUGCAGCGAGAGACAACAAGAAGGGACGGGUCACACCCCGGCACAUCCUGCUGGCUGUGGCCAAUGAUGAAGAGCUGAAUCAGCUGCUAAAAGGAGUCACCAUAGCCAGUGGGGGUGUGUUACCCAACAUCCACCCCGAGUUGCUAGCGAAGAAGCGGGGAUCCAAAGGAAAGUUGGAAGCCAUCAUCACACCACCCCCAGCCAAAAAGGCCAAGUCUCCAUCCCAGAAGAAGCCUGUAUCUAAAAAAGCAGGAGGCAAGAAAGGGGCCCGGAAAUCCAAGAAGCAGGGUGAAGUCAGUAAGGCAGCCAGCGCCGACAGCACAACCGAGGGCACACCUGCCGACGGCUUCACAGUCCUCUCCACCAAGAGCCUCUUCCUUGGCCAGAAGUUGCAAGUUGUACAGGCUGACAUUGCCUCGAUCGACAGUGAUGCUGUCGUUCACCCGACAAACACUGACUUCUACAUCGGUGGUGAAGUAGGUAAUGCCU